UCUCACGUGCUUCCUUAGUUCCUUGUAAUUUCCUACAAACGUGCAGCUAUCCUGCAUGCAGGUCCUCUUCUUUGCAUUCAGAUAUUCUCGAGCAGGCUCAACCACAGUCCAUCCUUUCACCUGUCCACGACAGAGGGGGCAUGCAAGCUCAGUCACUUCAUGGUUUUCACCCAGCAAACUUGGGUCCUGUACAACAGCUGAGUUGUUGAUUGAGGCGCUUACUGGUUGUGCAUUGUUGGAUGAAAUUACUUUGGUGUAAGCCUUUUUGUACUGGUCAAGGCAGUUGGAG
rnacentral:misc_RNA from 1 species